rnacentral:rRNA from 1 species
UACGGGGGGAGCAAGCGUUGUUCGGAUUUACUGGGCGUAAAGGGCGCGUAGGCGGCCACCGCAAGUCGACUGUGAAAUCUCCGGGCUUAACCCGGAAAGGUCAGCCGAUACUGCGGGGCUAGAGUGCAGAAGGGGCAACUGGAAUUCUCGGUGUAGCGGUGAAAUGCGCAGAUAUCAGGAGGAACACCGGUGGCGAAGGCGGGUCUCUGGGCCGAUACUGACGCUGAGGAGCGAAAGCGUGGGGAGCAAACAGG